CACGUCAGUACGUCAUCAGGAUGCGCUGGGGAGCGGAAGUGACGCGUUUGUUCCGCGCUGGCUGGCGCUGCAGCCUCUCUCCUUAGUCUCCGGCGGCGGGCGGUGCUGGCGUUUGUUCUGACUCAAAUGGGUGAUGAAAAGGACUCUUGGAAAGUGAAAACUUUAGAUGAAAUUCUUCAGGAAAAAAAACGAAGGAAGGAGCAAGAAGAGAAGGCAGAGAUAAAACGCAUUAAAAAUUCUGAUGAUCGGGAUUCAAAGCGGGAUUCCCUUGAAGAGGGGGAGCUGAGAGAUCACCGUAUGGAGAUAACAAUCAGGAAUUCACCUUACAGGAGAGAAGAUUCUAUGGAAGAUAGAGGAGAGGAGGAUGAUUCCUUGGCUAUCAAACCACCACAGCAGAUGUCACGGAAGGAAAAAGCACAUCACAGGAAAGAUGAGAAGAGGAAAGAGAAACGUAGACAUCGUAGUCAUUCAGCAGAAGGAGGGAAGCAUGCCAGGGUAAAAGAGAAGGAACGUGAGCAUGAACGUAGGAAAAGACAUCGAGAAGAGCAGGAUAAGGCUCGACGUGAAUGGGAAAGGCAGAAGAGGAGGGAAAUGGCUAGGGAGCAUUCCAGGAGGGAGAGGGAUCGUCUAGAGCAGCUUGAGCGAAAACGAGAACGGGAGAGAAAAAUGCGAGAGCAACAAAAAGAGCAAAGGGAACUAAAAGAACGGGAAAGGCGAGCUGAAGAAAGGCGCAAGGAACGGGAGGCCAGACGAGAAGUUUCUGCACAUCAUAGAACAGUGAGGGAAGAUUAUGGAGACAAAGUAAAAAUAAGAACCUGGAGUCGCAGCCCAUUACGACAGCAAAGAGAGAAGCUUGAGCAAGGAGAUGGCAGGAAGCCAGUAAAAGAGGAGAAAACAGAAGAAAGAGACCUGCUUUCGGAUUUGCAAGACAUCAGUGACAGUGAGAGAAAAACUAGCUCAGCAGAGUCUUCGUCAGGAGAAUCUGGAUCUGGUUCAGAGGAAGAGGAGGAGGAAUCUAGCAGUGGAGAAUCGGAAGAGGAGGAGGAGGAAGAAGAGGAGGAGGAGGAAGAAGAGGAGGAGGAGGAGGAGGAGGAAGAGGAGACAGGAAGCAAUUCUGAGGAAGUGUCUGAACAGUCAGCUGAAGAGGUGAGUGAAGAAGAAAUGAGUGAAGAAGAAGAGCGAGAGAAUGGAAAUCACAUUCCAGUUGUUACAGAGUCAAGGUUUGAUCGAGAUUCAGCAGGAAGUGAAGGAGAAGAGGAGGAAGUGGGGGAGGGGACCCCACAUUCCAAUACAAUGACAGAAGGAGAUUAUGUUCCUGAUUCUCCAGCUUCAUCACCCACUGAGUUGAAACAAGAGCUACCCAAGUACCUUCCUGCGCUGCAGGGAUGUCGUAGCGUGGAGGAAUUUCAGUGUUUGAACAGGAUUGAAGAAGGAACAUAUGGUGUGGUAUACAGGGCAAAAGACAAAAAAACUGAUGAAAUUGUGGCUCUGAAGCGACUGAAAAUGGAAAAGGAAAAAGAAGGCUUUCCCAUUACCUCUCUAAGAGAAAUAAACACCAUUCUGAAAGCACAGCACCCAAAUAUAGUCACUGUUAGAGAAAUUGUUGUGGGCAGUAAUAUGGAUAAAAUCUAUAUCGUAAUGAAUUAUGUAGAACAUGACCUCAAAAGUCUGAUGGAAACCAUGAAACAGCCAUUUUUACCAGGUGAAGUGAAAACUUUGAUGAUUCAGUUAUUGCGUGGAGUCAAGCACCUUCAUGACAACUGGAUACUUCAUCGGGACUUGAAGACCUCCAACUUGCUGCUGAGUCAUAAAGGCAUUUUAAAAGUUGGAGAUUUUGGACUGGCCCGAGAGUAUGGGUCACCUCUGAAGCCUUACACACCAGUAGUUGUGACACUAUGGUACAGGGCACCAGAGCUGUUACUUGGCGCCAAGGAAUACUCCACUGCAAUAGACAUGUGGUCAGUAGGUUGUAUAUUUGGAGAAUUAUUAACUCAGAAACCGCUGUUUCCAGGAAAAUCAGAAAUUGACCAGAUUAACAAAGUUUUUAAGGACCUGGGUACCCCCAGUGAGAAAAUCUGGCCUGGGUACAAUGAACUGCCUGCUGUAAAGAAGAUGACAUUCACAGAGUAUCCCUAUAACAACUUACGCAAGAGGUUUGGGGCACUCCUUUCUGAUCCAGGUUUUGAUCUCAUGAACAAGUUCUUGACAUACUAUCCAGGCAGAAGAAUCACUGCUGAAGAUGGUUUGAAGCAUGAGUAUUUCCGAGAGACUCCCCUUCCUAUUGACCCAUCCAUGUUUCCAACAUGGCCAGCAAAAAGUGAACAACAAAGAGUUAAGCGCGGCACAAGCCCACGACCUCCAGAGGGAGGACUUGGGUAUAGUCAAUUGGGUGAUGAUGAUCUGAAAGAUACAGGUUUUCACCUGACUACCACAAAUCAAGGAGCAUCUGCAGCAGGACCUGGCUUCAGCCUCAAGUUUUAAACUUAAUAUGAGGAGGGGAAAAAGACAGAGCUUUGACUUCAACCAUGCUGUUGAUGAAUGGAUUUCAAAGUGCUCCAGUUUUGUUCUUCGCAUCAGGAAGACUCUGUAUUUUACACAGAAAUAGCCAGAUGUCAUCUUGCUGGGUGUGGAAUAUAACUGCUGCAUUUCAUUCAGGGGACUGGAAUGAAUUAAUCCGAAAAGCCAAGGAUCAUUACAAAAAUUCAAAAAGGAAAACUUGAAGUACAAUCUCGGAACUGUUUUUUUUUUUUUUUUUUUUGCUUGUAAAUUUGUAGAAUUAAAAUCCAUUUUUAAUUGUUUAACAGUGUGAAGGAUUUCAUUUUCUUCACCUGCACCAGACUUGGAUGGUGGUGGCACUAAAUCUUCUAGAGAGGAAACUUAGAGAGAUUUUUCUCUCUCCAUCAUCCCCAUUUGUGCUUACACAAUUGAAGCAUAUUGUCAGCACAGGCCCUACAUAUACAUUUUGGGUGUGACUGGCCAAGUGUUUUCCAUAUUAAAGCUGAGCCUUUAAGAUCUCUUCUUGUCUCUGUCUGGGUAGAUGGAAGUUCACUUUAACCCCACAGCACUCGAAAGGUGACAUUCCUGCCUUCAGGAACAAUCUUGGUUUUCGUCCUGAGUGGAGGAAGAGUUGGUGCUACUGUUGGAAAAGGGAAUUCUGUCCACCAGAAGGAGGGAAAAAAAAUAGCUAAGUCAGUUUAUGCCAUUGGAAAGCAUUGCUGAAGAUAACAGUAUUUUUGAGGAACCACACUGCCUUUUAGAUUUCCUUUUCUGUAUAGUAGUUCUUCAAAGCUUCCUCCUAAAUAAGCAAGUAUUGGAAAGGCAUUACUUUAUCAUAAUUUCCAUAGACAAAUAACAUCCUCUCAGUGCGUUUACAUGGCACAAGAUGACAUUGGUUGACUUUUUUCUAUCACCACAGCCUUGCCAACACUUGUGAUUUUAGCGCAAGUCUCAUGAUAUUUGCUGAUUUUUCGGAAGGGGGGGUAGAGGAAGGUUUAUCCUAGGUCCUGGAUUUAUAUGAGAAUCUGUGCAGGGAAACAGUUUACAUAAAAUAUAAUCACUGUCAUUGAAAUGCUGUUCUAAGACAUACUUGUUAUUAGUCUGAAUGGAGGUACACAACCCCAGUGCCCUCUUUCCUUUAGUCCAGGCUCACAAAUAUAAAACGAAAAGGAGUACUUGUGGCACCUUAGAGCUCACAAAUAUGUUCCUACUGCAUUGUAGCAGGCACGACACCUAAUCUGCAAUUCAGCACUAUCGGCUUGCAUUCUUCAAAGCCAAAGUGUAGUAACUGCAGUUAAUGACAUACUUUUUCCUCUCUGAUAAGAUGGGGGAAUAGCCUAAAAUUUGUUUAACAAAGCAAUUACCAGGUUUCAGAUUUCCAAAGGGAUGGGUUAGAUCUAGAGGGUCAAGUGCAAGUUAGACUAACCAACUUUAGCUCACAACUUUCCCACCUCGCCAUGUAAAUUAUGGUACCAAAUACCUCACCUCUGAAUUUUGCCCUCAAGAGGAUCUGAUAGGGAAGCAGCACAAGGCACAUGGAACAAUUCUUGUGUUCACAAACUCUCAGGGUCUUGGGAUAAAGUUAAAUCAGAGAGGAGGAACACUGACCAGGACAGCAGACUUUUCCAUACUCUAGACAACAUACCCUGGGGCUGAAAUGCAAUAGGCAAAGCAAGGGUGUUAAGGGCAUCACUGAUAACAAGACUCUUCCAGACCAAAGGAUUCAGUAAUUUGUCACUAACAUUCAGAUAGCUCACACAAUUUAACAUUGUCCCUCUGUCAACUCUUAUGACCCUUAACCCUGGAAGAGGAGCUGAUACCAUAGCAGAAAUCACAGCUGGACGGACAGUGCUUUUUCAUCAACUUCCUACGAGUCUCACAGAAACCUUUCCGAGUCCAUGAUGGACAUACGAAUAGUCUGUCUGUGCAGCCUGAAAUGAAAGGAGACAAAGCAUUAAAGGGACAAGUGCCAUUUCUGUAUGUGAAAGAAAGUGAUGUGCAAUAAAACAACAUUGGAUCA